rnacentral:misc_RNA from 1 species
AAGUCGUAACAAGGUUUCCGUAGGUGAACCUGCGGAAGGAUCAUUACAACGUAUCCACGUACAAACUCGCGAACUGUUCCCCUGUAGAGUAAACAACUUGUGGAUGAAGUUAAUGGCGGAGAGUCUCUUUCUGAUGGAUUUCUGGAUUUUUAUCUGGAACUGGGAGCUCUCAGUCGCUGGCAAGAAAUUGCUGGGACUUCGUUUACUCUGCUGCGGUAUUACCUCCCAUCAGAGGUGUUGUAUUAACCAAUUUAUUAACCCUUUGAAAUCUGAACUGAACUUGAAAACUCAGCUGCCGUUCUCGCUGGCUUCGGUCACGAACGCAACAGCUUUGUUUUUCACAUUACGAAACAAAGAACAACUCUUAGCAACGGAUAUCUUGGUUCUC